UACGUAGGGGGCAAGCGUUAUCCGGAUUUACUGGGUGUAAAGGGGGCGCAGACGGCAGCGCAAGCCAGGAGUGAAAGCCCGGGGCCCAACCCCGGGACUGCUCUUGGAACUGCGCGGCUGGAGUGCAGGAGGGGCAGGCGGAAUUCCUGGUGUAGCGGUGAAAUGCGUAGAUAUCAGGAGGAACACCGGUGGCGAAGGCGGCCUGCUGGACUGCGACUGACGUUGAGGCUCGAAAGCGUGGGGAGCAAACAGG
rnacentral:rRNA from 1 species